rnacentral:misc_RNA from 1 species
AAAGUCGUAACAAGGUUUCCGUAGGUGAACCUGCGGAAGGAUCAUUAUUGAAAGCUUCGGCUUCCUUUGAUGCUUAACCCUUUUGAUGUCCAUUACCUCAGUUGCUUCCACGAAUUCUUCUUGGAUUCGUGGUCGGCCUUUAAUAAAAACCUUUAUAAUUAGCUAUGGUUUGUCUGAAUAAACAAAAAAUGUUUUAAAACUUUCAACAACGGAUCUCUUGGCUCCU